UGGUCCUUAGUAGGGGCUUGUUAGAGAUCUGUGAUUGAAUGAGUAAUACACUCAAGCCAGAAAUCAGUAAAAUGCAUUAUCCUAAGUGAAGAAAAAUUACUAUUAUAGAAUUCAUGUUGAAGAAGAUUGUGAUGACAGAAGAAGUGAUCUGUGACAACAUCCUUGAAGGAGCCCUGCAGAUGAACCCAUGACCUUGGGGGUAUUAGGCAAGUGCUUUCCACUGAGCUAAAUCUUGAACCACCAAUAUAUUGUUAUUCUUAAUGCUAAUUGUAAAUUGUUAUUAUCGUGUUCCUAAGGUAAAUAUUUUAAACAUGAUCUUAUUAAAUAUUUUUGUUAAUUAAAUACCACUUUUGACUUAUUUGACACUCCAAAGUGUCUCAUAAAUUUUUAUUUGUAAAAGGUUUUAUUCAGCUUCCCAGUGGUAUAAAAAUGAAAAGGAAAAUGUAAGUAGAGAUUAAUAAGUAUAUAUUCUGUAAUCCUUGGAUAAAUGAAAGGCAUCUUUGAUUUGUUUCAGGUAAAGAAUGUGGUUGGUACUAUAAAGUAGAGAAUUUAUGGGAUGGGGAUGUAGCUUAGUGAUGGAGCAUGUACUUUGUACCCUUGAGGUUCUGGGUUUGAUCUCCAGCACAGCAAAAAGCCAAAACUAAAACCAAAAGGCAAUAGGAAAACAAAAACAAACAGACAAUACAAUUAGAGAGUUUCACAGUGGCUUUCUGCAUCAGCGGUUUUAAUGUGGGUUCUUAGUGGUGAUCUACUGGUCAGAUUACUAUGUUUUACUGCUCUCUGGAUUCUGGCCUAGUGAAAUCUAGGCUCAGACAUCCUCCCCAAUCUCUUUCUUGAUCCAGUCCACAUAACUGAGUAGUUUGGUGUAGAAGCCAUAUCCUUUACUGCAUCCGAUGC